ensembl:lncRNA
CAAUAUGUGCCGUGUUACAUACAAGAGAACUGCAGGACUUGUGGAAGAUGAAAGACAUAUUUAAGGAAAAUGUGUGUUUUGCUAAUUUACAACAUCUCUGAUGUAGUGGUGUUUGUACUUGGACUUGUCUCAGGUGUAGUGGUGUUUGUACUUGGACUUGUCUCGGGUGUAGUGGUGUUUUGUAUUUGGACUUGUCUCUGGUGUAGUUGUGUUUGUACUUGGACUUGUCUCAGAGGUAGUGGUAUUUGCACUUGGACUUGUCUCAGAUGUAGUGGUAUUUGCACUUGGACUUGUCUCAGAGGUAGUUGUGUUUGUAUUUAGACUUGGACUUGUC